GGAAUUUAUUAGUAUGAUUUUUCUAUUUCUGUGAGUCUGCCAUCGCAGGAUUUCUACGGAAGAAAAUUAAUGGCAUCGCUAACAGGGUGACACCUCCUCCAGAAGUUUGACGAUUUCUUCAUAAUCUUCAUUCUUCAACGGAAGAUUCUUCUCUCCUCUGAUUCCGUGAGUCAGCCAAUUUCCUCAUUACUAAACCCACCAACACUGCAAUUGCAUUUCCUCUCUUUGGAUUAUAAUUCUGCAAUCAAAUUUCAUAUUGGUUGAUGAAGAAUUGAGAGCAGAGAGGAAACAUGGAAUUCAACAAUGGCGAGCAACCAAAUGGAGAGGAAAGCAAUGAGAUAGAGCAAUACAAAGUCCGUAUUAUGAGAGCCCAUGUCGAAAGAGAAGAUCCCUCUGCCAAGGAAGUGGAUGAUUUGAUGAUCAGGAGAUUUUUGCGUGCUCGUGAACUAGACGUUGAGAAGGCUUCUACCUUGUUUCUUAGGUACCUAAGCUGGAGGCGAUCAUUU
rnacentral:misc_RNA from 1 species